ensembl:misc_RNA Metazoa_SRP Metazoan signal recognition particle RNA
GCUGGGUGUGGUGGUGCAUACCUGCAGUCCUAGCUACUUGGGAAACUGAGGCAGGAGGAUCACUUGAGCCCAGGAGAUUGAGGCUGCAGUGAGCUGUGAUGUUGCUACUGUACUCCAGCCUGGGCAACAGAGUGAGACCCUGCCUCAA